rnacentral:rRNA from 1 species
UUAAAGAGUUCUAUAACUCCCAAACCCAUGUGAACAUACCUAACGUUGCCUCGGCAGGUCGCACCUACCUUGUAGCACCCUACCCUGUAGGGCCUACCCGGGAGGUGCGGGUAAGCCUGCCGGCGGCCCACCAAACUCUGUUUGAUAUUGAAUUCUGAACCUAUAACUAAAUAAGUUAAAACUUUCAACAACGGAUCUCUUGGUUCUGGCAUCGAUGAAGAACGCAGCGAAAUGCGAUAAGUAAUGUGAAUUGCAGAAUUCAGUGAAUCAUCGAAUCUUUGAACGCAUAUUGCGCCCAUUAGUAUUCUAGUGGGCAGGACCGUUCGAGCGUCAUUUCAACCCUUAAGCCUUCGUUGCUUAGUGUUGGGAGCCUACGGCAACGUAGCUCCUCAAAGUUAGUGGCGGAGUUGGUUCACACUCUAGACGUAGUAAUUUUUUAUCUCGCCUAUUAGUUGGACUAAUCCCCUGCCGUAAAACCCCCAAUUUAUCAAGGUUGACCUCGAAUCGGUUCAGACAAACUCGCUAAAUUGAAGCAUCUUAGUCAGCGAAGGAAAAGAAACCAACAGGGAUUGCCCUAGUAACGGCGAGUGAAGCGGCAACAGCUCAAAUUUGAAAUCUGGCCCU